rnacentral:hammerhead_ribozyme from 1 species
AGCUAGCAGUGGAAUCCAGGACGCGCGUUCCGUCCUAUAUGGGACUCAUCAGCUGGGUACACCUGCAUGAGCUGAUGUUCACUCUGGGACUCGAACCCAGUACCUUUUGCUUCAAAAUAGGACGAAACGCGCGUCCUGGAU